CAGUAGCCGCGGGAAUACGAAGGGGGCUAGCGUUGCUCGGAAUGACUGGGCGUAAAGGGCGCGUAGGCGGUGGCCAAAGUCAGGCGUGAAAUUCCUGGUCUCAACCUGGGGGCUGCGCUUGAUACUUGGUUGCUUGAGUGGGGAAGAGGGUCGUGGAAUUCCCAGUGUAGAGGUGAAAUUCGUAGAUAUUGGGAAGAACACCGGUGGCGAAGGCGGCGACCUGGUCCUUGACUGACGCUGAGGCGCGAAAGCGUGGGGAGCAAACAGGAUUAGAUACCCCUGUAGUCCCUGUCUCUUAUAC
rnacentral:rRNA from 1 species